AGCGGCGGACGGGUGAGUAACGCGUGGGUAACCUGCCUCAUACAGGGGGAUAACAGUUAGAAAUGACUGCUAAUACCGCAUAAGACCACAGCACCGCAUGGUGCGGGGUAAAAACUCCGGUGGUAUGAGAUGGACCCGCGUCUGAUUAGCUGGUUGGUAAGGUAACGGCUUACCAAGGCGACGAUCAGUAGCCGACCUGAGAGGGUGACCCGGCCACAUUGGGACUGAGACACGGCCCAA
rnacentral:rRNA from 1 species